rnacentral:rRNA from 1 species
UCGAGCGGACAGACAGGAGUGCUUGCACUCCUUGAAGUCAGCGGCGGACGGGUGAGUAACACGUGGGUAACCUACCUAUAAGACUGGGAUAACUUCGGGAAACCGGAGCUAAUACCGGAUAAUAUGUUUCACCUCAUGGUGAAACAGUGAAAGACGGUUUCGGCUGUCACUUAUAGAUGGACCCGCGGCGCAUUAGCUAGUUGGUGAGGUAACGGCUCACCAAGGCGACGAUGCGUAGCCGACCUGAGAGGGUGAUCGGCCACACUGGGACUGAGACACGGCCCAGACUCCUACGGGAGGCAGCAGUAGGGAAUCUUCCGCAAUGGACGAAAGUCUGACGGAGCAACGCCGCGUGAGUGAAGAAGGUUUUCGGAUCGUAAAACUCUGUUGUAAGGGAAGAACAAGUACGUUAGUAACUGAACGUACCUUGACGGUACCUUACCAGAAAGCCACGGCUAACUACGUGCCAGCAGCCGCGGUAAUACGUAGGUGGCAAGCGUUAUCCGGAAUUAUUGGGCGUAAAGCGCGCGUAGGCGGUCUCUUAAGUCUGAUGUGAAAGCCCCCGGCUCAACCGGGGAGGGUCAUUGGAAACUGGGAGACUUGAGUGCAGAAGAGGAGAGUGGAAUUCCAUGUGUAGCGGUGAAAUGCGCAGAGAUAUGGAGGAACACCAGUGGCGAAGGCGGCUCUCUGGUCUGUAACUGACGCUGAGGUGCGAAAGCGUGGGGAUCAAACAGGAUUAGAUACCCUGGUAGUCCACGCCGUAAACGAUGAGUGCUAAGUGUUGGGGGGUUUCCGCCCCUCAGUGCUGCAGCUAACGCAUUAAGCACUCCGCCUGGGGAGUACGGUCGCA